rnacentral:snRNA from 1 species
UCACUUUGGCAAUGCAUAGGCUAAAAUUGGACACAAAGACUUAAGCAUGGCCCUUGCCCAAGGAUGACACACAAAUGCAUGAACAUGAAAUGUUCAU